GCCUGUGUAGCUCAGUUGGUAGAGCAGCUGAUUUGUAAUCAGCCGGUCGUUGGUUCGAGUCCGAUCACAGGCUCCA
rnacentral:tRNA from 1 species